GAUAUAGCAGCUCACAAGGUACUGACUCAGAAUAGAGUCUCAUAUGGUAAUUGAUAUGAAAACUAAACAUUAGACUUGUAAGCAUCAGUGAAGUAUGCAGAAGCCAUCAAAAUUAACUGUUCUUGAGUGUAAACUGUUGAAAAGCUAAAUCUCUUCAGGGAAGGAUUUGUGCAAGUGCAGUAUUCUUCAGGGAACCAUACAAAUCUGCAUUGCAAUAGCCUGUUUCCUGAGGUUUCCUUAGGGAUCAGAGAGAGUUUAUAGAAAAGUUGUGUUUCUUGUAGCUGUACUGCCUGUACCAGCUGCACAAAAUUCCUUCUUGAAUGACUACAUUCCAAAGAAGUAAUUGCAGAAAAUUCUCAGAUUCUUAUUUUCAUUUCCUUUAGUAGUUCUGUAGAGACGACUUUUCUUUAAUAAAUACCCAACCACUGCACAUGUAACGACAGAAAAUGAUGUGAAUGUAUCUGCAUAUUUAUUCUUUACACUGAGGAUGCAUGCUGUAUGCUACUUAAUUGCAAGAACGUAUGUGAUUUUUAUGAGAAGUGCUAAGAAGAGCAUCGUAAGAUUGAUUUAAUUUGUGCAUGUGUUUGGUGAAAUGCACAAAGGGAAACACUGGAAGCCUUUAGUACAAGCAAGAGCUUGCUCUGUGAGGAGGGACUGGAUACCUAAGACUAGAGAGACCAGGGAUUUCGUUUCUCCUAUUAUCUUUUCUAGGGUUGCUGCUUGGGAGUGCUUACCAACAUAGAAAAAAGGUCUUUUCUUUCAAAGCAAUAGCACAAUAAAAGAAAGCAAAACCUGACCUCAUUUGUUGGCAGCACUGUCGAGAUGAACUGCAGCUCUGACCUAUUUCUCCAGCGGUACAAUUAUCUGCUGUAAUGGUACCACUUUACUUCUCAAAUCCGGGAUUACAGUACUGUGAGAUUUAGAGAAGUUACUCUUUCUCUAGUUGCAGGCCUUGUUACUUUGGGGACAAGCUAGUGUGAAGGGUGAAUGGAUGGAAGGAGUAAAGACAAAGCAUGUGAUCAGGUCAUUGUAAUGUCUUUAUAAUUUUCACGUGAAUGCAUUUUUUUAAUUUAUUUGUAUGUGUACACUCAUAGCAUUUUGUUUAUAUACACAUUAUCUCUAUAUACAAAUGUGCAUGUAUAUAUAGAGAGAGACAAUAUCCUUGUAUAUACGUGUGUAGCAACACAAAAUGUACUAAACUGAGUUCAUGUGGUGAGGGAUUUGGGUUUUGUUCAUUUGUUUGGCGGAUAUGAGAUGUGAUCAGCCUCUACACAACAUGGGAGCUGUAAGAAAUCAAGUUCUUAUAUACUCAGGACUCAACCCCUCUGUGACAGGAGUUGACACAGCUGCCUUAAAGUCAAUUUAAUACCUGUUUAAACCAAUGGAAGGAAAUCGAGUUACAUUAGGAACUGGUGUUUAUAAUCUGAUAUUUAUCUCUUUGUUUUAAUAGCAGUGUAUCCAAUCUUACAAAACAAACUUCUUUUCUCUGAGCUUCCUUUCUUUCUUUCUGUGUCACCAAACUGAAUAGAAAAUGUUCUUAUGAAGUCAAUUUUUCUUAGUAAGGUUUCAGUCUUCAGGAACAUAUUCAUAUUCUUUGUUUUUUCACUUGGGAUACUGUUCACAGUGUUCACAGCAACACUGAGCUGGUAACAAACAUUGAGUACUGCCAAGCCCAGUCAUGCAGAAAUCGUGAAUUAGGAUCUCAAAAGCAUAUGAUUAGCUUGAAAACCAUGUUUUCAGGAAAAAAAAAUAUAAAAAAAAAAAAAACUUUUCAUUUAGCCUCUGCUUUUUGGUACAUUUUAAGCUUUGUCCCAACUCAGAAAUGCUGAUAGAAUACUUAACACAAUCAUACACAAACUGUUAUGAACUUAACUGUCCAGUCUCACCAGUAUAACGCAUAGUUGAGUCAGGCAAUUAAUUUUGCAAAGGUUGGACUUAUUUCAUGUGAUCAUCUUAUUUUUGUCUGCUUUCAGUUUAAUGGAAAAGUGUUGCUUUUUUUAGACACAGAUCUACUCCAUGCAGGGUGAUCAAAUAAAAUGGUUGUUCAGUACUUGUUUUUGCCCCGUUGCCUUUCAUCCCUGUCAGGAUGAUGCUAGGAGCACCGUCCACAGAAUACAUGAAUUUUAAAGAGAGAAAGCCUUUCAAGGGUUGCAGAAGGCUGAGUUCAAGCAAGGAUAAGAAAGCAAACUAUAACUUGAGCUCCUCUUAGAGAGGGGCCUCAUUUGUUUUUUGAUUCCAAUCUGAAGUCAUUAAGUUUUGCUGCAAGGGGAAUGGUACUCAAUGCAGUUUUGAGGAAGACAUUUAUGGUUCCAUCCCUGGAGGGCUGACACGCAGGCUAAGCAUCUGCUGGCAUCAGCUAAAUAUGCAGGGGAGAAUAAAAGUAUUUGGAGGAGCAUUAGGAUGAGUUUUGGCCGAGGCAGCUAAGAAAGAUGAAAUAUUGCUGUUAUUUAAAUUACUCAAAGAAAUCAUCUCCUCUCCUUUUCCAUCAAGGUGGCGAAGAAGAGAUUCAUAUUCUGCUAAUGGAAAGUUUUGGAACAGAAGUGAAUGGGAAAUAUUGCCAUAGUUUGCUCAAAAAUGAGACAAAACAUUUUCAUUAUUCCUCAGGGACUUUUAUUCAGAACAUGUAAGAGCUGAGAUUGAGAAGGUGAAAGCAGCAAUACAACUGGAGUCCUCUUUCCACAUUCUGGCAAUCUUUAUGCCAUGGCUGAACUUCUUCUUUUACAGAUUGUGGAUACCCAACUGAGCUGCUACUGUGCAGAGAAGUGCUGGUUGAGACUGAGGAACAGCCCAUGGAUUGCAGUUUCCACUAACAGGCCCAUUCAUGAUGACUGGCAAACAAGACCACUUGUUCUGGAAAUAAGAAGCUUGUCAAGAGGGUGUGCCAGACAAUUAGACAUACAAAAGAUCCACAACUUGCUCCAUGAAGAGUUAGCCAUAAAUGUGAAAGUGAGAAUACAUAUAUCUGUAGGAUAGGUAAAAAGGGACUAAAGAACUCCACAAACAAGAAACACACAAACGAAGACCUGAAUCAAUACUCACUCAUGCCCAUUAAUUAUGCACUCAUUUUGUACUAAUAUUAAUGCCACCUGCAUUGAGCAAUGAUGAUAGUACAUCUAGCUACAAACAGCUCUCUGUAUAUACAACUGAUCGAUGUUUUUCCUGGGGUAUGAUAAACUGAGCUUUCUCAUUGGCACCCAAUAAAGCUGCCUAUUAAUCCUAAUUGUGAUGGAGGCUUAUGUAUGCCAUUCCCUUCUGUCUGAUGGGAGCGAGGCGAAGGUCACGGCUUGUUUAGUUCCAGUCGGUGAAGGGCCAUUACAUAAGAGUUGCUUCAGUCACUGUCAGCACGGGCUAUAUUUGGACGACUGUAACCCAAAGGCCUGUCUUCCUUCACUCGCUCUGUAAGCCAUCCAGUUGCUCAUCCGUGCUUAUUCUGAAUAAUGAUGAUGAGCAGAAUAAUUACUGAAAUUGCUGGGUUUGCCCCGUGCCUGAAAAUGCUCUCAUUUGGUCAGAUGUCUCGCUGUGAAAUUCCUCUCUCCCAUGCAAGCAAGGGAACGCUGCAGGACUGGGCUGCUGGACGCACUUGCCCUCGAGUGACCCAAAUGGGAGCAAUAUGCAGCCACUUGGCACACUGGGUAUGGCUGGAGAGAACGCAGGCAGCUAAGUUAAAGGACUGAUGGGAUCAUCUUUAAUUUGCUCUGUAAACAGAGAACAGUAAAGAUCACUACAGUAGCCUUUUGUGCCAUAUAACCAGCGAGAACAAAUAUCAUGUUACAUACAGCUGAUACAUAGUGGUCGCAUUCCCAGCUGCGCCCUUAUCAAGAUGGCUGUGACAAUAGAUGUUCUGUGGAGCUGGAGAUAACACAGUAAGGAAAUGUUGGGAAAUGCUGGCACUCUUGCAAAUGAUUAUAACAAAACCAAAAGGAAAGAAGAAAGAGUUUCUUGUACUACUGAUUUACAUUUUGCAAAGUAACUCUACUUGGAAAGGAAACCCAAACUUCCCUUAUUCAAAUAGUUUUGUUCCAGUGAACUGCUACAGACAAUUUGCACUUAAUUCAAGGAAUCACUUUUACUUGGUAUUUUCUGGCCAGUAACUAAGUGUAUAUUUGUUGCUCUGAGUAUUCUUAAGUAUGCUGAGUGCAAUGUGCAAAGACAUAAGAAAUAGCAUUCUGACAAAAUUAAGUUGGUCUGCUGGCUAGCUGUUUGGAAGUUUUAUGUACCAUCAUUCUUACUCAUUUUUCUCUUACUAUUAGCACUCCCUGCUGUCUAGGUCACUAAACCAGUUACUCCAUUUCUCCUCCACUUAUAUUUAACCCCUCCACAAGACUUUGGACCGUGUUCUUCUCAGAAGUCAGCCUUUCCAGUCAAUGUUGUCUCAACACUAGCCUAUGCACUGGUUGUUUCAAGAUGCCCCCUAUUCUGACCAAAUCUUUUCUCCCCUCUUCCAUUCAGUCUGUCCAAACUGUUGCCAUCAAGAUAUUUUCCAUUUCUCUGAGAAUAUUGUCCUGCUUCUAAAAUCUCAACGUUGACCUAUUUCCACUCUAAAAUUCAAACAUGUUUCUUUUCUCAGCUCUAAAUGACUUCAUUGCUACUUGGAUCUGACCUCAUCUCCUCUUGGAAAGCCAUUUAGUCUCUGAUGUUGGGAGUGUCUGUGGUGGGGAGCAAGGGAUGUUAUAAUUGAUUUCCUUCUUUAACUUUCUUCAUUAACAGGGUGCUCUGAAUCUUAACGUACUGAAGAUGAAAUUACUUUCAGCCACCUCCCUCAUUUGUUUUGGAAGUGUCUGGAAGUAUUUACAGAACGAUCACCAAAAAGCAUUCAGAGUGAAGAUUCAGCACUACUUAAAUGACUGCACACAAUUUCUACCAAAUUAAAUGCAUCUUGAACUAUAUUCUACAUCCUUGAACCUCUGUUCCUGGUUAGCCCAGCCUGGGGUUGUCCUCCGUUGUGAUAACUGGCAGUAAUACCAGCGGGCAUUUAUUUGGGUGACUUAGGAAUAACUGAAGAGCAUCAUCUUCUUACCAUUCCUUUUCACUCUCCUCCCAUUCAACAUCUUGUGGAGCUGCAGCAUCUUGUGGAUCAACAGAGUGCAAUUAAUUCAUAAUCCUGGAGAUACUGAGGUUGUCACAGUUUGCUUUUCCAGAUGCAUAUAUUUCUUCUGAACUUAUAGGAUAACAUGAAAAUAAGACCUCUUACCACACCAGGAAAAAAAAAAAAAGCAUCUAUUUCUUGGAGUCUAUUACCAUUGAACCAAAAGUAAGAACCCCCUGGGAACUCUGGAGGCAGAUACAUUUACCCUGGGUCCUGCCGACAUCUGAUCACACAGGCCCCAAAGCUGAUGCUAAAAUUUCCAGAAACAUUUGGGAAGCAACCACAGAAAUCAAACAAACUGAGCCCUCGAAGAGCAGUAACAGGAAGCUACAGAAGCCCAUCUGAGCCAGCACUCACUUGUCAGCAUGGCUUUUCUCCUCCCUUUCAAGCUUCCACUGGACAUGCUGCGUCGUCCAGCACAGCACCUCCAAAAUUGCUGGGCAUUUUGUUCACACUUCAGAGGCCUGAAGCCUCCUGCAACUCUGCAAGAUAGAUUGCAAUGACCCUGCAGCAGUGUCUCACCGAAAUGACUGAUCUACCUGUAUUGGUCAUCUCUAGUUUCCCCAAAGUGGUUUAAUUAUUUGUGCACGUGAAAUGAGCAUUGUCAACAGAAACAUUAUACAGACAAUCUAGAGUCUUACACAGGCAGGAUUUCAUGAGCCAUUUUCAAAAAAAAAAAAUGUGUAGGGAGGUUACAUGCCCUGACCAGAUGGGUUUUGUUGUUUCUUGUUCUUUACCUUUCCUUGGAGGUGCUUUGUCAACCUGAUGCAUCUCCCUGACAUCUUCCCAGAGCUGGCUCUUCUACAUGGGAGACUCACUCCUUCUCAAAGAGAAGUGGGGAGGAAUUUAAUAAGGUCUGGGUCUAUCUUUGUUUCAGGGAAAUUUGUAACAGAUACUUCUGUAUUUGUCACAUGUAUGUUUCAGACCAGAGCAUUUUUUUUUUUUUUGUUAAUGUUGGAAGCUCUCAGCAAAGCCUGAAAGUUAUUAUAUAUAAACUAUAAUGUUAGCCAGCUGAUUGGGACAAAAAUCCAGGCCACUUAAACAGCAUCUUGGAAUCAUUCAAAUUUAAUUCUUGAAAUUAACAUCAAAGCCAUUUUUGAUGUCUGAAAAGAAUUAUUAAUUUUAUUUUUUUGUGCUUAUCUGUUCCUCACUGUACCCUCUAACAACACCAUAAUAGUGUGCAUAUGUGUGUGCACACACCCUGAUAUAUCCUUAGUGGGAUAUCAGCUCCUAGAUCUUGUAUGUAGCACAUAUGUGUAAGCAGUCUGCAGGCUAGUGAGGUCUCGCAUAAGUCGGUCCGGGUGCUUUUGUGGCUCUCAUGCCCAGAAGAGAAAUGUGGUCUGGAGAAAUCCUGUGUUCUGCUACUAAAUGACUUUUGAGAUUCAGCAGUAACCUUGGCAGACUGGAAGUUAGCCUGGCUGCUUAAGAAUAUUUAUAGCUCAACAUGUCCAGGCUGUUAUCUUUACCAUGCUCACCAGGUGAUCCACUGAAAACAGGGAAAAGAAAACUAUUAAAUUUAGUAGGUAUUAGGCUAAAUCCUUAUUCAAUUCAGAAGGGAAAGGUGAUUUGCCUACAGAGGAAUGUAACUGAUGAUGAAAAUAAUAAACCAGCUGCUAAAUGGCUCAGUUC